CUGUAUUCUGUAUUGGAUGUUUGAAGAACAAAUUGAUGCUUGGGGAACACAAAGCUUAAAACAUUUAUGGAUUCUAGACAACUGAAAUGUUCAUUUGCAAACUAACCAGAGAGUAUACAGAUGAAGAAAUGCCAGGUUGAAUUUUCCCAGGAAACUGGAUCAGGAGCUAAGUGGAAAGAUUCUUUCACAUGCUUUGGGUAACUCAGAAGCUGACCUCUGUUAUGAAUGGAGACCUAUAUUGCCCUUGAAAGACUGUUUCAAAACAGCUAGUUUCCUGUCAACAAAAUGUCCUUACAGGACACAGCAAUACAUGACAACAAGUACUGGACUUUGGAAUCCAAAUAUUUCUGAAUGGACUGCAUUUGUGUCAUCCACAAACUGUGAUCUCAAAAAUGACUUCACCUCUUAAAACCUCUCUUCCCUUAGCUAUAUAAUGGAGCUAGUGAUACCUACCUUGCAGGGUAUUAGGAGAAUUCAGUGGGAUCAUGUUCAUAAAGUACUGAUCCCAGUGUUUGGCAUUUGAUAAGUCCUCAAUGAUGUAACUGUAGUUAUCAUCAAGAAAGUAAUUAUAUCACCCCAGCAAGAAUGGAUAUUAUAAAAAAAAUUAAAGACAGGAAGUGCUAGCAACAAUGUGAAGAAAAAAGGAACACUUUCACACUGUUGGUGGGAAUGUAAAGUAGUACAGCCAUUAUGGAAAAACAGUAUGGAUGUUCCUCAAAAGGCCAAAAAUAGAACUACCAUGAGAUUCAGUAAUCCCACCACUGGGUAUACAUCCAAAGGAAAUGGAAUCGGUAUGUUGAAGAGACAUCUGGAGCAUUAUUCACAAUAACCAAGAAAUGGAAACAACCAAAGUGUCCAUUCAAAGAUAAAUAAAUUUUUAAAACUGUGGUACAUAUACACAGUGGAAUUCUAUUUGCCCAUUAAAAAGUAUGAAAUUCUGUCAUUUGUGACAACAUGGAUGUAACUAGAGAUCAUUAUGUUAAGUGAAAUAAACCAGACACAAAAAGACAAGUGC
rnacentral:lncRNA from 1 species